GCAUAUCAAUAAGCGGAGGAAAAGAAACCAACAGGGAUUGCCUUAGUAACGGCGAGUGAAGCGGCAACAGCUCAAAUUUGAAAGCUGGCCCUUUUAGGGUCCGCGUUGUAAUUUGUAGAGGAUGAUUCGGCGAGGGCUCCUGCCUAAGUCCCCUGGAACGGGGCGUCAUAGAGGGUGAGAAUCCCGUAUGCGGUAGGUUGCCUUAGCCAUGUGAAUCUCCUUCGACGAGUCGAGUUGUUUGGGAAUGCAGCUCUAAAUGGGAGGUAAAUUUCUUCUAAAGCUAAAUACUGGCCAGAGACCGAUAGCGCACAAGUAGAGUGAUCGAAAGAUGAAAAGCACUUUGGAAAGAGAGUUAAAAAGUACGUGAAAUUGUUGAAAGGGAAGCGCUUGCAACCAGACUUGUCCGCAGUUGCUCAGCCGGUCUCCUGACCGGCGUACUCUUCUGCGGCCAGGCCAGCAUCAGUUCGGGCGGUCGGAUAAAGGCCUCGGGAAUGUAGCUCCUCUCGGGGAGUGUUAUAGCCCGGGGUGGAAUGCGACCAGCCUGGACUGAGGAUCUCGCUUCGGCAAGGAUGCUGGCGUAAUGGUUGUAAGCGGCCCGUCUUGAAACACGGACCAAGGAGUCUAACAUCUAUGCGAGUGUUCGGGUGUCAAACCCGUACGCGUAAUGAAAGUGAACGGAGGUGGGAACCCGCAAGGGUGCACCAUCGGCCGAUCCUGAUGUCUUCGGAUGGAUUUGAGCAAGAGCAUAGCUGUUGGGACCCGAAAGAUGGUGAACUAUGCCUGAAUAGGGUGAAGCCAGAGGAAACUCUGGUGGAGGCUCGCAGCGGUUCUGACGUGCAAAUCGAUCGUCAAAUUUGGGUAUAGGGGCGAAAGACUAAUCGAA
rnacentral:rRNA from 1 species